AUCCCUCUGACCUCUCUAGAGAUAGAGAUUUCCUUCGGGACAGAGGUGACAGGUGGUGCAUGGUUGUCGUCAGCUCGUGUCGUGAGAUGUUGGGUUAAGUCCCGCAACGAGCGCAACCCCUAUUGUUAGUUGCCAUCAUUCAGUUGGGCACUCUAGCGAGACUGCCGGUAAUAAACCGGAGGAAGGUGGGGAUGACGUCAAAUCAUCAUGCCCCUUAUGACCUGGGCUACACACGUGCUACAAUGGCUGGUACAACGAGUCGCAAGCCGGUGACGGCAAGCUAAUCUCUUAAAGCCAGUCUCAGUUCGGAUUGUAGGCUGCAACUCGCCUACAUGAAGUCGGAAUCGCUAGUAAUCGCGGAUCAGCACGCCGCGGUGAAUACGUUCCCGGGCCUUGUACGCACCGCCCGUCACACCACGAGAGUUUGUAACACCCGAAGUCGGUGAGGUAACCUUUUAGGAGCCAGCCGCCUAAGGUGGGAUAGAUGAUUGGGGUGAAGUCGUAACAAGGUAGGCGUAGCGAG
rnacentral:rRNA from 1 species